rnacentral:lncRNA from 1 species
AGACCCAUCAAGGCCUACAAGAACCAGCAAGAAGAAUCUUUUUGACCUGUGAUAUGGCUGGAUUGAUCUACCAGUGAUGUUUAUUUGUCACCCAACAUGCCUCCUCUGACAAUGCAAACUGAAGUUCAUGCUGCUUUAUAUAAGAAAAGAAAUUAAAUUGAUUAGAUACUUUCAAAAUAUAGCAGCUUAAUUGCCUUCAGGCUUUUGCGAAGUCUCCAGCUGGGUAGAAUACUAAUCUUUUCCAAUUAUUCUCAUAAUUAUAAAAUUAUAAUUAUGUCUGUUUUCUGAUGAUUGAUCAUAGCUCAUAAUGGUUCACACUUAUAGUCCUUAAUGCAUGAAUGUAGUCCUGGUCUAAAAAGCAACAUAGCUUCAACUGAAGGUGACAAAGCCAUGCUGAGAUGCAAGAAUUGAGAGUCUGGCUCAGAAUAUUAAACAGGUUCAGACAUGUAAUGCUGGGUUCCUAACUGGCCCUUUCUUAUACCUUACUGAGCCAUAUUAACAGUGUGUUUCCAUACAGUAAGUAUGUAUCUCGCUCGUGGCUGUGGGAUUUGAAACGAACAUUUACUGUAGACAUCAAAUAUCAUAUGCUGCAAUUCUUUCCUAUCAACCUUUUUCUUUUUAGGGAACUGAGGCAGUACCCUGUUACCCCCUCUCAACUUCUGGAUUAAACUAAUUUGCUUUUUUUUUUUUCUUAAGAAUUCAGACAUUUUUCUAGCAUCCAACAAUGAGAAGUCCUGAAGCACAUGAAAAUCUUGUUUUGGAAGUGAAGAAAGACUGAGAAAGAGGGUUCCUCUGUUUUCAUCAAGUACUUCUGAAGAGCGCAUGCAGUCCUUGUGAUGAGUAAAGUGAAAUGGCAGAGACAUUUAAGAAGUCUUGGUGGAAGACAAAUCAAUCUGUGUCAUAGCAAAAUAUCUUUGUCAGUGACAUGGACAGUGGGAUCAAGUGCACCCUCAGCAAGUUUGCCAAUGAUACCAAGCUGUGUGGUGAAGCCAAUGUACUGGAAGAAGGGGAUGCUGUCCAGAGGUACCUUGACAGGCUUCAGAGUUGGGUGUGUGCUGAACCUCCUGAGGUUCAGCAAGGCGAAGUACAAGGUCCUGCAUCUGGGGCAGGAUGAUCCCAAGCUAAACACAGGCUGGAGAGCAGCCCUGAGGAGAAGGACCUAGGUGCAUUGAUAAGAGAAGCUUGAUAUGAGCCAGCAAUGUGUGCUUGCAGCCCAGACAGACAACAAUAUCCUGGACUGCAUUAAAAGAAUUGUGGCCAGCAAGUGGAGGGAGGUAAUUGUCCUCCUCUGCUCUGCUCUCGUGAGGCUCUGCCUGGAAUGCUGUGUUCAGCCCUGGGACCCCCAGCACAAGGACGUCAAAGUAUUAGAACAAGUCCAGAGGAGGGUGGCAAAGAUGAUCAAGGGGCUGGAGUACCUCUCCAAUGAAGACAGGCUGAGGGAGUUGGGGUUGUUCAGCCUGGAGAAGAGAAGGUUCCUAUUAAGUCUAUGAACUCUGCUAAAUGUUCAUAAUUAGGCAACCAGUGUAUUUGUAUCAAAUGGAAAAUUAAAAGAACAAAGAAAAGCUCAUAUCAUUAUGAAGCUUAAACAAACCAGUCCAUUUUUGGGAAUGUUAUGAGAGGCGCACAAAAAAAUAUUGUCUAGUUCUUACAUACCAUCUAUCCAAGGUAGCUGCAGUGAAGGGUGGUGUGGAUUCAUGGUUUUAAUUAAACUGGUAUUAAAACUGAGAUGUAAUAGAACCUCAUCAUAAUAAAAAGAGAAACCUUACUUAUUUUCUUGACA